rnacentral:rRNA from 1 species
UACGGGGGGAGCAAGCGUUGUUCGGAUUUACUGGGCGUAAAGGGCGCGUAGGCGGCCAGCACAAGUCAGUUGUGAAAUCUCCGAGCUUAACUCGGAAAGGUCAACUGAUACUGUGCGGCUAGAGUGCGGAAGGGGCAACUGGAAUUCUUGGUGUAGCGGUGAAAUGCGCAGAUAUCAGGAGGAACACCGGUGGCGAAGGCGGGUCUCUGGGCCGAUACUGACGCUGAGGAGCGAAAGCGUGGGGAGCGAACAGG